GACAGAGGGUGCAAACGUUGUUCGGAAUUACUGGGCGUAAAGCGCGUGUAGGCGGCUCUGUAAGUCGGGUGUGAAAUCCCACGGCUCAACCGUGGAAGUGCACUCGAAACUACAGGGCUAGAGUCCUGGAGAGGAAGGUGGAAUGCUUGGUGUAGAGGUGAAAUUCGUAGAUAUCAAGCGGAACACCGGUGGCGAAGGCGGC
rnacentral:rRNA from 1 species